AUGUCUCUGGAGAGUCCUUCCUCAGACCGAAUCAAUAUUUCAAUCACCUAAAGGGAAGCAAGGCAGUUUAAUCAGCCAUGCUAAAACCAAAACACCUCACCCAUCCUUAACCCCACUCUGACCAAAUGCUAGCUGUAGCACUUAGUCACUUCAGUGUUCAAUUGCUGCAGCUCAGAAAAGGUUGCCAGCACAACUGGGAACAAUUAGCUAUUUUCUGUUGGGGGAUUAGGAGUACCCGGGUGGUAAUUACUAUACUAUUGAUACAACUGGCAGUAAUUGGGAGAAUGUAAGUGGGAGGAACAGGAAGCAGGAGGGGGAGCUCAGAAAUUGAGCUGUACAAAGGAGAGAAGCAGCGUGGAAAGCUCCUGCUGCAAUAUGCCUGUGUCCUGUUCUGUUUAAAAAAGAACUGUGGAAUAAAAAGAUACAUGUGAUGAAAGGAAAAUGGCCUGGGUGUGUUUAUGACUGUGAGACCAUGGGAACAAGCUGGAAAGCAUGGUGCACUCAUCAACUGACCAUUCAUUUCCGGUCCAGUUCAAUUCUCCCUCCUUGUUUUUAAAAGCUCCAGCUUCUAUUACAUACCUUGCAUGUUUCUGCUUCUCUUCCCGAUACCUCUGCUCAUCCCACACACUCCCCUCACCCCAAAACACAUCAUCUUGCCAUAGCUAGUGCAAAAGCAUUCUAUGCUGGAAUCCUGUGGUCUGGAAGUUUCCCUACAUCAAUUUUCCACCUGAUUCCAAGCCUCAGAGGACCUCUGUUAUACAGGAGUUCAGACUAGACGAUCAUAAUGGUCCCUUCUGACCUUAGAAUCAAUGAAGACAUUUCCUGCUGUCAUAUAUCUGUUUCUUUCUCCCACUCCUCCUCCUCCAUCUUCACUGAGUGAAAAUAGUUUAGUUCUUCACAGAAUUUUAAGAUCCAGUAUAAAAAGGCUUCAUAUGAAAUUGUGAUUAUAUAUACAUGUACACCAUCAUUUACAGUUUAUAAUUAGAUUUAAAUUUGGUUUUUAAUUGAUGCUCUACCACUCUAUAACUAGGUAAUGUUCACAAAUACCAUUACCCAUCAAUUUAAAACUUCAUUUGAAAAAAGGUUAAAGCUCUUAAGGUUGUGAAGCUAGCCUUACAAAGAACAACCUGACACAACAGAUAUUAGUCACGUCACUUAAUGCUCUGAGACAAUACAGUGAUGAGUAUGGUUUAAGAGCCUAUAUUAAAUAGGAAAUGUGAUUCAAGUGUAAACCAAUGCUGCGGAAGAGAAAGUUAGUCACCUUGUGCAGUAACGUAGGUUCUUCGAAAUGUGUCCCCCUGUGGGUGCUCGACUUUAGGUGUUCGUGCACCCCUGUGCUCGUAAAAGACGAUUUUUGGUAGCAGUGCCAGGUUGGGUUGCACAUGUGCGGUCCUCAUCUCACACUGCUUGAAGCAGUCAAUUGGUGCUGGCUCUAAUCCUUCUUUACUGCAGAGAUCAAGUAAUAAACCCCAAAGUAGAAGGGAAGAGGAAGGGUAGUGGAGCACCCACUGGGGGACACAUCUCGAAGAACUUCCAUUACUGCACAAGGUAUCUCCUUCCUGUCAGUGGUGUAGAAGGUGCAAAUGAUCUUUUCUGCCAGGCACAAGGAGAUCUCCAGCUAGCUGUCUCAAGCAUCCAACCCAACAUGUAAUUGUUCUUCUCCAAAAAACAGGUGCACUCAUCACACAAGUAACAGCAUGAUGCCAGCCCAGAAGUGAUCCACACGCUGAGUGUCUCUGCUGCUUGGGUGAAAUGCAUGUGACUGAGCGCUGCAACAUCUGCAGGUCAUUCAAGCCGCGGAGGACUCAGAAGGAAAGGGACAUCAAGCUUCACGCCCUCCUGAUGGAAUUGGCUCUGGCCCCUACCCUGGCACAUUGAGUGGACUCGGCACUGCAUCUUCAGUGCGUAGUGAAGUCACCUCCACUAGCCGGCACCACUCCCCUUUCAAGAAGCAAGGGAAGAUUUCCAUCUCACGGUGGCACCGAGAAAAGAAGAGGGGUGAGGAUGGUCCUGAGUCGGGCAGCCCUCAUUCUCCCCCAGGCCCUAGGCCUCUGACUCCUGUUAGCGGCGCAACCCAGUUCUGUCCACAUGUGCCUCCCCUGCAGAGAGGAUCCCAUCGACGCUGGAAGCUGCAAAGGCCGCGCAAGACAUCUUGAACUUACUGAUACCGGGGGCACCACCAGUGUCGGGUCCUCGGUCCCGAGAUAAGCCGCUGCUGGGUGCUCAUCAGACUCCCCCUCCCGGCACAGCGCAGCUCCCACUCUGAGGACUGCUCCUUACCUCGUUCCACGCAGUCUUCUCGCAGCUCACACCAGCCCUCUACACCAGUAAGGUUGACUGGCUCGCUGCUCGAACGGGAGUCUCAAGGCCCCUUCAUCAGCGCAGUGACGGUUGCAGGCACCAUGACAGGCGCCAUAAACGCUUUUCAUGUCACAGCUACUGCAGCUGGUCCCGAUGCCAUCAACAUUCCCACUCAAAUUCCCGCUCUGCCAGGCAUCGCAAUCGGGACUCCUCUCGCAAUUCACCAGCACAGGAACAUCGUAGCUCCUGGCACCGGGUGAGUACUAGAGAAGCACUUCCGAUGGGUACCGGGUCCUCAGCGUCGAGGUCCCGGUCCCGCAGAAGGCACAGUCGUAGGCACCACUGCUCUUGCCGCUCCUAUGAGACUGUGCGCUCAACAGUGACCUCAGCAUUGGCACCUAGCCACCCAUUACCAGGUCAUGAGGCUCAGCUGGAACAAACUGCACCACCGGGCCCUCAAAUUGGUCAGUGGCAAGGGGCACCAUGGCAAGGAAAGUGAUGUCAAUGGGCACUGUGGCCGCAGAUGCCCACCCAGACGGGAAUCUGCUCAGUGGCUAGAGCGUCCAAGGCAUCUUCAGCCUCCCCUCCUUGGCAGAGGGAUAAGUCAAUACAUCCCGAGUCGGCAGUCCCACGCCCAGACUCCAACCUGGGGACAGAACCCCCGGUACCGCCUGAGACUCUCUGCUCUGCACCGGCCCCCUCUCCAGCACCGGGGAUGUAGGAGAAGUGGUAUGACAGGGACCAGCAGCAAUGCCAUGUGAAAGCCAAGAAGCUGCGGCAGCAUACCAGGCCAGGGAGGCCAACAACCAAUUUGGUGCCAAGCCACAAACCUGCUGCUUUUACAAAGAGCUGCAUGCCAUCCUCAGCAGAGAUUGCACCACCACUCUCAACAGCACCAUGAAUACAUCGAAGGAACCUAAGUCACAAGCUCCUGCCAUGAACAGCAAAGAGAAGGAUGGGGAUAGGUGACCAAGGGAUCCAGCUGUGCAGUGAGCCAGGACCUAUUUUUACUCCAUCACAGUCCAGCACGAGUGAGCCCAAUGUAGGGGAAGGAACCGCAGGGAACAGUGUAAAUAAAUUUUUAAUUACAGAGUUGUUCUCCCUCCUCCCCCCAAAGCAAGACACAAUCUUUCCACUUUUCAUUAAUUUACUCAUGCUAGAAGACAUAGUGGUACAAUCAAGAGAGGUAGAGCUGCUAUCUGAUUUUCAUUUCCCUCUAGAGCUAGGGACCAUGCAUAGCAGUUUAUGUACACAGGGAUGUUCCUUGAAUCCUCCUCAGAGAUCUCGACGAAACUUUCAUGGAAGUACUCUGCAAUCCUCUGAUGGUUUCGAGUGAGGGCUGCCUUGUUUCUUUCUUCAAGGUUGGACACUUUCCCAUGCCACUCAGUGAUAACUUCAGCAGGCACUAUUGCAGUACACUGGGUAGAGCACAUGGGCCCAGGUGGCUUUGGGAUAUCUGCUGCAACUGUGUGAGAACCUUUGUUACCCUCAAGAGAUAUCAGCUAAAAAUCAUCUACUGUGGAAAAGGGUGCCAGUAUUUAUUGUCAUUGUCCUAUAUACACUAUUACAAUCAUGCAACCAAGCAAUUCUCUCCUCAUUUCCCUUAUCCCCCAGUAGGCCAUAUUCACCAUGGCUGGUGCAGUGAUUGGUGCCAUGCACAAGAAAUCCCAAGCAGAAGUGAGAAUGUAGUGCUUAAAACUUUUGGGGAGCAACUUCAACAUCUUAAGUUUCACUUUCUAUAGUGAAUGCAUCAGCAAUAGUACCUCUGUGUUUUAUCUUCAGCUGUUGCCACCGUGGCCUUCAGAGUCUCCCCCUCCACACCUGCGGAGCCACAUAAGGUGGAGGAAGAUGAUAACCACUCAGGAUAACACGUUCCAGGACAUCCUGCAAGCCAGUGCUGUAUCAGACCAUAAGCACAGGGCCUGGAGGAUGAACACUGCAGACAGUCUGGAAAAGGAAAGAGUGGAGAGGAGAAAGGCCCAGAAGUCCCAGCAGGAAAAGGAGAGGAAGAUGCACCAGGGCACAGUGGAGCUUCUCAGGCAGCGCAAACAGAUGCAGCAAACUCUGGUGGCUUCCGGAGGUGUUGCAGCACCCUUAAUGUCCAUCGGAGUAGAGUGAUAGAGACAAUCACAGCUUCACAUACACAGACCUGUGAAAGCCAGAGUUAAUAUCUGUGUAGCUGAAAUGGACAUGAAAAUUCUUUCACUGUUCAUAACUAAAUUUAUUAAGUUUAUAAUGUAUUUGUUGUGAAAUUACAAUUUUUGCACUGA